rnacentral:rRNA from 1 species
GACAGAGGGUGCAAACGUUGCUCGGAAUCACUGGGCGUAAAGGGCGUGUAGGCGGGAAGGAAAGUCAGAUGUGAAAUCCCCAGGCUCAACCUGGGAACUGCAUUUGAAACUCCCUUUCUUGAGUACCGGAGAGGAAAGCGGAAUUCCUGGUGUAGAGGUGAAAUUCGUAGAUAUCAGGAGGAACACCAGCGGCGAAGGCGGCUUUCUGGACGGUAACUGACGCUGAGACGCGAAAGCGUGGGGAGCAAACAGG